CAGUUUCUGGAUCGACAAUCGACAGCUGAGAGACUAUUUUUUGCAAUGGUUGACUAAAUAUGGUCAGGGAAGAGAGAGAGACAAGAGAGCCUGUUUGCCUGGGAGUGCGUGUUUCAAAUGCUUAGCUGCCUAUAAAGCUGUAACAGUUUUGCUUGUGCCCCGAGUGGGAAAUACAGUUAGUCUCUUCUAUAUUGUGCAUGUGGGAGCCCUGACCUCGCACUAAGAGACUUGACCUCUGAAGAUGGAAAGUAGCUUCAACACAGAUCUGCCUACAGUUAUGCCUGGAAAUUUAACUUCAAGCAAGAAAAGAUGCAGUGCAAUGUCUAAGGAGCUAGAAGAAACCAAAUAUUUGCUGGGGGAGGGGGGCUGCUGCUUGUUUUGUAAGUCACUCCAACUUUUUUUUCCUCUGACUAUUUUAAUCUAACAAUGGGCUAAGUUCACCUUCCCUGGUUUCCUAGCAUCCAUCUUUGGACACUUAAUUCUCAGUCCACCAGGCGCAAGGUACAAUUUCUAUGCAACAUCAUCCACAUUUUAUACAUUCCAAGAAAAGCAGCAGGUGCCAAUCGGGCAUCACUGUUCACACUAUUUUGCUUUUAAGUUUUUAUCUAUUUGAAGUGAUAAGGUGGUGAAUUCACCGACACGUCCCUCCUUGCUCCCCCCUCCCAUGUAACGAAGAGCUGAAUCAGCGAAUAGAGUGAACGAACACUCAGGAUGAGAUGGCUGCUGCUGAUGUGUCUCUAGGUCAUUACCUCUCUUCCAACUGCAAAUGCUGCAUGAUACUAAGCUUACAGGAUACUAGAUACAAACCAUAUACCAGCAUGGAAACCUGAGAGAAGAUCUCACAGAAAGUUGAAGUUCUUAUGGUGGAAUACAACUAUCCACUCCAGGAAAAUACUUUGCAAAGCUACCCAUCAAUGAUCCAACUCUUCAUUCAAACCUGGCCAGUCAGAAUGAACAGCAAGAGGCAACCAAAACUUGGGAUAAGUGCUUCAAGUGUUCAUGUCAUCACAGAACAAUGAACUGUAAUAGACUUUAAGCCACUAUGCAGGUAAGCAAAGAUAUCCUCUUUAGAAGUCCCGAAGAGUAUUUCUGCAGCAGAGCCUGUUCUACCUUAUAUGAAAAGCAAAAGUAUUUCAAUUUGAUGACCAGCUAUUAUACAUAUAGCCAGUAACAAGUUCACAUUGCUGCCUGGCAUUACUCCUUAUUGAACAAUUCUCAUAAAACAAAGAAAAACUCUACUGCUGAACUUCUCAUAGCCAGCAGAUGGGGUAAUAGAAAAAAUAUAUUGGAUCCAGGAACAACAGUUCCUUGGAAGCUGAAAUAGUCUCUUUAUUUAUGAACUACAUAAAAGGAGAAGUCAAAGUGGAGCAAAGAAAGAAGCCAAGGGAAUUAAACAUUGAGAUGGCAUGAAUAUUACACUGACUGCUAUAAUUACCUUUCUGCAAAGCCAGAAGGAAACCAAUGACCUGUACAGGAGUACACCAAUUAAAAAGAAUGUUUCAGAGGUAUAAAAACCCUCUUUUAACAGAGAUGAAAUGUGUAAUUACCCAAACAAAAUGACUGGAAUAAUAUUCUCUGAGGCAGUGAGAGGUUUAAGCAGAAACAAACUUUAAUAUGGGGCAUUUUUAUAUCAAUCAUUUUUUCUUGCUAGUCAUUUUAUGUUGUACUAUAAGUAACUGAAGACCUCUUGCCUGUACUUGGCCCAACUUCUACUUUAAGUUUUGGCCUACAGCAAAAUUACCCUAAUAACAUCAGACUGAUGUCAUGUGGUGCCUAAAUACUUCACUAGUGUGAAUAUUAGAAAUGCAGAGAUAGGGGAUUUAUUAAAGAAACAAUUAAGACUGGCAUCUGAGUAGUUGCCAAUUAGCCGAAAUUACAAAGAAACAGGAAAAAAUUACUCAAAAGACUCUAGUAAUCAGUUACUAAGCAUAUCCCUUCAAGCACACACCUGUUAUACACAAAUUUAAGUAUGAAAUCACAAAUAUGCAUGGGUUUCACCCAUGGAAACUGCCUGUUCAUUUAUCCCCUGCUUCCAAAUGACAUGCUUUCCAUAGGCUUUAAUUCUAAGAUCUCUCUUUAAAGAGGAACAAAGAUCAGUUCUUUUUAGAAUAAGGCAUAAGCAGGCAGGUAUAUCCCCCUGUUUUUUAUGGGAGUAUAGGUAGCGAAGUAGUCUGGGCCAUACCAUGACACUGGAGAACAUUCUAAGGAAGAAGUGAAAUACUGAAUAUGCGAUGCCAUUAUAUUUACCGUUUAUAUAAUGCAUAAAAUGCAAAUCUCUUCAGCUAUUACCUUACACAUACUAAAAUUAUAUAACCAAAUCAGAGCUUAGAAAAGAUAACAGCAAUAAAUGUCAAGGGAAACGCAUACAC